GAGAGAGAGCAGGGGAGGGGCAGAGAGAAGGAAAGACAGAAUGCCAAGCCGGCUCUGCACCGCCAGUGCUGUUUGUGAGAAGAAUGGGGGAAAAGAGCAAUCCUGGCAGGGAAGCCAGCUUGGUGACAGGUGCUAUCCUCUUGCUGGAGACAGAGGAGUGAACACGUGUCUGUUCUCAAGAAGCUCCCAUUCCCAUGGGGGAGACACACGCUAAGCAACUUCUAUAGAAAAAUCCACUUUCAGGAAGAGUAUUCGUGGGUCACAGUGAUGCUUUCUUCCAUGACCUUGGAAAGUUUGGCCAUGCAGAGCGUGAGCUAUGGAGCUGGAGUACCUGGGCUUAAAACCAGGCAUUUCUAGCCCUGGCCUCACCGGCCGCAUGACUUGAGGCCUGACACUUAGUA